CACACCUGUGAUCUGCAACUUUUAUGGAAUUGCCAAAGCCUGAUCCAAGACUAAAAGUAAGUGCAUGAAGUGGCUUUUCACAAGUUAUGUCCAGUCUUGAGCCAUAGAUCAGGGGUUCCUUUAAAAACCAGUAUAGAGAACUUGUACUGUGUGCCCUUUGCACUGUUAAAAGAGACCAGACUUUAAAAAGAUUCAAGUAAAAUAUAGGGGAUCUUCUCAGGUUCAUUUUCUUCUGAAUAAAUUCCUCUCCGGUCCCAAUCCAUCAAAAGUCUGUAAAAUGGCACAAGCCACAGACUUCCAACCCACAGUCCACAGCCCCUGUGAGGAGACGCUGCACAAACUGAAGACGAAAAGCAGCUGUUCUGCUCUGUAAGUGAAUAAGACCAUGUCCACCUUCUUUAGGCAGAUAUAAAACAUUCUGUGGUACCCAGUGCAGAUUGUCUCAGAAGAGGUUGACCAAGAUUGACCGGAUCUUUGACAGCAGGUGUGUUGGAAGAUCUACACAAGCUAGCCGAUGCCAGAGGGAGGAUACUAGCAAAUUGCUAAUAAGAAGAACAAAGUGGAAGGAGAGAGAGGGAGAGAGAAAUAGAGAAGAGAGAGAGAUGGCCCGACAGGAACAAAAGACCUUUCAGUGUCUGUGUCAACAGGAAGGGAAGUAUUUCCACAAGGCCUAUAGUGACAGCGCAGGGGGAUCUUGUUGGGGGAUGGAUAAGGCCUCCUUCACUGGCAAAGGAUUGCCAUUAAACAUGCAGACCGGAGGCCAUGGGUGACACCUAGAGGAUAAGAGUGCAACUGCAGAAAGGAACAUGCCUCCCUUUCCAGUCAUCACGG
ensembl:lncRNA